rnacentral:pre_miRNA from 1 species
GUGACAUCCGUAUGGGGCAGGACUUGUUUCAGUGGGGCUUUGGUACUCAGUGAGUCUGCUCCUUGAGUGUGUCACU